UUGCGCAGAUCUGCAUUGAGCUGGCCAGGGAAACGCAGGCAGGUGGUGACCCCGCUCAUUGUGGCAGAGACCAAGUGGUUGAGGUCUCCAUAUGAUGGUGUGGUGAGCUUGAGUGUACGGAAGCAGAUAUCGUACAGAGCUUCAUUGUCAAUACAGUAGGUCUCAUCUGUGUUUUCUACCAGCUGGUGCACAGACAGGGUAGCAUUGUAGGGCUCAACCACAGU